UACAGAGGUCCCGAGCGUUGUUCGGAUUCAUUGGGCGUAAAGGGUGCGUAGGCGGCUUUCUAAGUCUGAUGUGAAAUCCCGGGGCUCAACCCUGGAACUGCAUUGGAUACUGGGAGGCUAGAGUACUGGAGAGGAAACUGGAAUUUACGGUGUAGCAGUGAAAUGCGUAGAUAUCGUAAGGAAGACCAGUGGCGAAGGCGGGUCUCUGGACAGUUCCGUGACGCUGAGGCACGAAGGCCAGGGGAGCAAACGGG
rnacentral:rRNA from 1 species